AACACCAGUGGCGAAGGCGACUUUCUGGUCUGUAACUGACGCUGAUGUGCGAAAGCGUGGGGAUCAAACAGGAUUAGAUACCCUGGUAGUCCACGCCGUAAACGAUGAGUGCUAAGUGUUAAGGGGUUUCCGCCCCUUAGUGCUGCAGCUAACGCAUUAAGCACUCCGCCUGGGGAGUACGACCGCAAGGUUGAAACUCAAAGGA
rnacentral:rRNA from 1 species